UGGGGAUAUUGCACAAUGGGGGGAAACCCUGAUGCAGCGAUGCCGCGUGGAGGAAGAAGGUUUUCGGAUUGUAAACUCCUGUCGUAAGGGAAGAGAAAGGACUGUACCUUACAAGAAAGCUCCGGCUAACUACGUGCCAGCAGCCGCGGUAAUACGUAGGGAGCGAGCGUUGUCCGGAAUGACUGGGUGUAAAGGGAGCGUAGGCGGGAUGGCAAGUCAGAUGUGAAAACUGAGGGCUCAACCUUCAGACUGCAUUUGAAACUGAUGUUCUUGAGUGAGGUAGAGGUAAGCGGAAUUCCUGGUGUAGCGGUGAAAUGCGUAGAGAUCAGGAGGAACA
rnacentral:rRNA from 1 species